GCUCUGAUGAGGAUGAUGAUGUUGGGGCGUCUGGAAUUGGGAUGGCAGCUGACAGCGAUGAUGAGCUUGAACUGGGAUAAAAUGGGGUUUGGGACCAAGGUCUAAUUGCGUUGGGCAAGGUAAUCUGGACGGACGCUUGGGCUUUUGUUUGGGAACUUCCUGAAGACGGGUGUGAUUCGCUACUGGAUACCUUGAACCUCCGUCGUCUUUUUGACGGGCAAUACCUACUUACACUGGAUUGACGCUGGACUGACUGACUACGAUUCCAGAUUAACCCUGCUGCUGGCUAUCGGUGAGACCUUUGGAUUCCUUGAUGACUACGCUUGGCUAUUGAUCUUCUGGACCGGAUUGGGACCCUGCUGACUGCCGUUACCCUAAACCUGAAUCCUGACUACGACCACGCUUUCGUUCGCUGCAGGAAGGAAUAAACAAGCCUGUUUUACUCCCCUGCUGUUUCUGAGUAGCAGAGAGGAAUCUGCUACCAGUCUUUUGUUUACAUUCUGACUCCUGUUGAUCCUCUUUUGUUUGCAUUGUUUGCCAAGCUGAAGUAAGCACUUUGAUUUAAUCCGGAUUACACUGCUGUUUAACCCGGUUUAUCUCUUUGAACCAUUUAAGCUCAAACUGAGCUGUUUUUUGUUAUUUAUCCCACUGAAGUCAAGUGUUUGCCCUGUUCUUUGUUUCCUACGGGCGUUUUUAGUUCUGUAACCUCAAUAAACUGAGUUUUGUUUUA